rnacentral:snoRNA from 1 species
UCUCGCUCACCAGCUCCGUGCGAACGCAGUGUUGCCCGUGCGGCGUUACAAUGAGCGGAAAGCAAUGAAGACUGACGAUUAUUGGUAGAUCUCGGUAGAGUACUAAUCACUGUUUGGUUUCGUACAACA